rnacentral:rRNA from 1 species
AUUGAACGCUGGCGGCAUGCCUUACACAUGCAAGUCGAACGGUAACAGGUCUUCGGAUGCUGACGAGUGGCGAACGGGUGAGUAAUACAUCGGAACGUGCCUAGUAGUGGGGGAUAACUACUCGAAAGAGUGGCUAAUACCGCAUGAGAUCUACGGAUGAAAGCAGGGGAUCGCAAGACCUUGUGCUACUAGAGCGGCCGAUGGCAGAUUAGGUAGUUGGUGGGAUAAAAGAUGACCAAGCGGACGAUCUGUAGCUGGUCUGAGAGGACGAUCAGCCACACUGGGACGGAGACACGGCACAGACUCCUACGGGAGGCAGCAGUGGGGAAUUUUGGAGAAGGGGCGCAAGCCUGUUCAAGCAAUGCCGCGUGCAGGAUGAAGGCCUUCGGGUUGUAAACUGCUUUUGUACGGAACGAAAAGCCCCGGGUUAAUACCCUGGGGUCAUGACGGUACCGUAAGAAUAAGCACCGGCUAACUACGUGCCAGCAGCCGCCGUAA